UGAUGACAAAUCUCCGGAAUCGCUGCACUUCUUUGAUGAAACUUCGAACCCUUUUUCUGAUGAUUGCUUUUAAAAUCACU